GAUGAACGCUGGCGGCGUGCCUAACACAUGCAAGUCGAGCGGCAGCGCGGGGUGCUUGCGCCCUGUCGGCGAGCGGCGGACGGCUGAGUAACGCGUGGGAACGUCCCCCAAAGUUGGGAAUAACUGCCCGAACGGGUGCCUAAUACCGCAAAGUGUCUUCGGAGCAAAGGAUUGGUCGGCAUUGGUAGCGGGUCGCGUCUGAUUAGGGAGUUGGUGAGGUAAUUGCUGAGCAAGCCGACGAUCCGUAGCUGGGCGGAGAGGAGGACCAGUCAGACUGGAACUGAGACCCGGACCAGAAUCGUACGGGAGGGAGCAGAGAGGAAUCUUCCACAAGGGGCGAAAGUCUGAUGGAGCAGCGCCGGGGGCAGGACGAAGGCGUUUGGGAUGUAAACUGCUUUUAUAAGUGGGGAAUAUGACGGUAACUUAUGAAUAAGGACCGGCUAACUACGUG
rnacentral:rRNA from 1 species